rfam:Schistosoma margrebowiei strain Zambia genome assembly, scaffold: SMRZ_contig0007472
AUCCAUCUGACGAGUCUCAAAUAGGACGAAACGCGCGUCCUGGAU